UGACCUGGCACGGGUUCACGUAGUCCUCCCAGUGCCUGAGCUGGGUCUCCCUGCAGUGAGUAGUUACAAAACAGCAAGAGCUGCCCUUCCCUGCUGUCGGCCUCUCACCCUGCCCUGUGACCUCUCUUUCUUCCACACAUUCCCGCUGCGAUGCCACCUGCCAUGAUGAGACGACACCAAAGCUCCACCCCUGAGGGGCUGAGUUGAUGGAACCUCUCGAUCUCGGACUUCCAGCCUCUAAACUGUGUUCCAAAUCCUGAUGUUUGACCACUGAGAAGUGACUCAGCGCUAACGUAGGAGGGACGACAACAUCUCCAAAGUCAGUUGCACAUGGCUUGAAGAUGCCCACUAGGGAUUCUGGAAGAUAUCCCCACCGAUCAAGGGGAGCUGCUCUACAUUUUCUUAAAAAUCAGUUUUCAAAGUUCUGCACCUUAUCAGCGCAAGCCACAUCUGGAGGAAGCCUAUGAGCUAUGCUCAGAAAAAUCACUGUGCUUUGUCUAAGUCCCGAGGCUACCCAGAAUCCUUUGCGGUGCGUACGCGCUUCCCAGGCCCCUGCCGUGAACAGCGUGGCCAGGAGAAUCCCAGAAGCUGCCUAUCCACUGAAACUUCCUGUGCAUUUUGCGUGCCCUGGCGGGAUAAAUCAGAAUCCCACAGUCUGUGCUGUGUCUCCCAAUGUCACCGAGCUAUGUCAUUAGGAUGUUUCCCUCAGAGAUUUAUAAAAGGCUGGUGACAAAGAGUAGAAUCAAGGCUAAGAGGGGAAGACGCGGACGGCCAUCCUGUGAUGCACUGUGUAGGUGCCUGUGUGUGACAGCUAAUGGGCUAGCGGGUUCUGGAAACCCUGAAAUGGCUCUUCCGCUGCACUGACUGCCUCCUGACCACCUGCAUGGAUGGGUGUCCCUGAAGCUGCCCCUGCUUGUGACACAUCGCUGCUCCUCCUGGACCUGUUGCCUGUCAUCUGGAGACAUUACCCUGUUAAACAUUUAUUUGCAUAUAUAAACUUAAUGACUGAGGCGCCCCUGCAGAAGGACAAGGGGAGACUUCACCCCCUGCCUCAUUGGCCCCCUCCACAAACAAACACACACCUGUCACAAUUACCUGCUCAGCUUAAACCAUAAUUACUGGGCAAUCAAACCACUAGGAGCAGAGGCACUAAUUAUCACAAUGAGACUUGUCGCGCACAGAGUUACCCAUCACUUUUAGCUUCUUGGCUGUCAUUUCCUCUUCAUGGCCACAAGUCACCAGGAGGAGCUUGCGUUCCACCACUUGGCUUAGCAAGAGCGUUUCUGCAGGUAACGGCAUGCGUGAAGGGAAGAAAAGCAUCAGACCGGGAUUUUAGGAGGAAGAAACAGCCUCGGCUCCAGGAGGGCGGACAACUGUGGCCAGCAGGUGGCAGUGUGGACCAGAAAAAGAAAAGACUCCGGUUUAGCGCUCACAGUGCAGGUCCGCGCUCUGCUCCUGAAGAGCUGCCUGGCAGCAGCCGCUCCUUUGCCCCGCAGGGCUGCUGUGAGGCUCUGGACCCUGGGAGUGCCAGGCUCUCUCCGGAGGGACUCAGUGGCCAACAGAACGCCUCAGGACUGGGCCCCGUGGUGGCCUCCUGCAGGUGCUGACCAUCUUCGGACUUUUUAGCGUGUGCAUCUUGGUAGAAUAACCGACUUAAAGUAGAAGCCUGGUGAGACCAGCCUGACGAAUCCCACCGCACCGUCCCACCACUGCACCGUCCGGAUACAAAGGCACAAACACAAGCGCUGGGAACAAAAGCGACGCCAGGAGUUGGCAAGCCACUGAAAACCUCAGCGUUUACCCCAGGACACUACAGAUGCCACAGUUCUCAGAUGACACCAUUGCUGGCCUCUUGUCUAAUUCAGCCUCCUGGGUCCGUCGGUGCCCUCGCUGUCCUGUGGAAUGUCUCCAUCCCUGGGUCGUUCAGAGUUCCCCGAAGAGACAGCACCAACAACCUGUGUGUAGAGAGAUUUAUCUUCAGGCAUAGGCUGGGGAACCUGCUGGGAGGCCAGCAGACUGAAAACCCAGUGAGGAGUUGCAGUUUGAGUCACAGUUCAAACCCAAAGAUGGAACACUGGUAGAAUUCCUUCUUGCUGGGGAGAGGGGUCUGUUUUUCCUCUUAAGGACAUCAACUGAUUAGACAAGGCCCACCCACCAUUUGGGUAUAA